rnacentral:rRNA from 1 species
AGUGAACGCUGGCGGUAGGCCUAACACGUGCAAGUCGAACGGCAGCACAGUAAGAGCUUGCUCUUACGGGUGGCGAGUGGCGGACGGGUGAGGAAUACAUCGGAAUCUACUUUUUCGUGGGGGAUAACGUAGGGAAACUUACGCUAAUACCGCAUACGACCUACGGGUGAAAGCAGGGGAUCUUCGGACCUUGCGCGAUUGAAUGAGCCGAUGUCGGAUUAGCUAGUUGGCGGGGUAAAGGCCCACCAAGGCGACGAUCCGUAGCUGGUCUGAGAGGAUGAUCAGCAACACUGGAACUGAGACACGGUCCAGACUCCUACGGGAGGCAGCAGUGGGGAAUAUUGGACAAUGGGCGCAAGCCUGAUCCAGCCAUACCGCGUGGGUGAAGAAGGCCUUCGGGUUGUAAAGCCCUUUUGUUGGGAAAGAAAAGCAGCAGGUUAAUACCCCGCUGUUCUGACGGUACCCAAAGAAUAAGCACCGGCUAACUUCGU